UACGUAGGUGGCAAGCGUUGUCCGGAAUUAUUGGGCGUAAAGCGUGCGCAGGCGGUUUUGUAAGUCUUUCGUGAAAGCCCCGGGCUCAACCUGGGAAUUGCGAUGGAGACUGCAAGGCUUGAAUCUGGCAGAGGGGGGUAGAAUUCCACGUGUAGCAGUGAAAUGCGUAGAGAUGUGGAGGAACACCGAUGGCGAAGGCAGCCCCCUGGGUCAAGAUUGACGCUCAUGCACGAAAGCGUGGGGAGCAAACAGG
rnacentral:rRNA from 1 species